rnacentral:rRNA from 1 species
GACGAACGCUGGCGGCGCGCUUAACACAUGCAAGUCGAACGGAAAGGCCUGCUUUCCCUUGUGGAUUGCGGGUACUCGAGUGGCGAACGGGUGAGUAACACGUGAGUGAUCUGCCCCCAACUUGGGUAUAAGCCUGGGAAACUGGGUCUAAUUCCCGAUAGGACUGCAGGGUGGUGCCUGUGGUGGAAAACGAUUUUCUAGUGGUUGGGGAUGAGCUGGCGGCCUAUCAGCUUGUUGGUGGGGUAAUGGCCUACCAAGGCGGCGACGGGUAGCCGGCCGGAGAGGGUGGACGGCCACAGUGGGACUGAGAUACGGCCCAGACUCCUACGGGAGGCAGCAGUGGGGAAUAUUGCACAAUGGGCGGAAGCCUGAUGCAGCGACGCCGCGUGGGGGAUGACGGCCUUCGGGUUGUAAACUCCUUUCGACCGCGAGGAAGCCACCUGGUUGGAAGGGUGGUGACGGUAGUGGUAGAAGAAGCACCGGCUAACUACGUG